GCGCUGGUUUAGCUCAGUGGUUACUUCCUCUGAUAUAUCAUUACCUGCAAUGAUCCUCAGAUCUUCCCCGUCACAGGGGAUCGAACCACGGGUGCUGUCCAGUGUUUUU
rnacentral:vault_RNA from 1 species